UUAGGUAGAGGUUGCGGAAAACAUGAGUACCCUGUUUGAGCUUGGACGGAGCGUUGAUGACAGAAAAAAGGGAAUUUCGCCGAAAGAUUUAAAAGUGUCAAAUUUAAAUCUUGGGCAUAUGAAAAAUAUUCAUAUGACUGACAUCAGUUUUAAAAAUUGAUGUAGCGCUAUCA
rnacentral:ncRNA from 1 species